UACGGAGGGGGCUAGCGUUGCUCGGAAUCACUGGGCGUAAAGCGCACGUAGGCGGCUUUCUAAGUCAGGGGUGAAAUCCUGGAGCUCAACUCCAGAACUGCCUUUGAUACUGGAGAGCUUGAGUCCGGAAGAGGUGAGUGGAACUCCGAGUGUAGAGGUGAAAUUCGUAGAUAUUCGGAAGAACACCAGUGGCGAAGGCGGCUCACUGGUCCGGUACUGACGCUGAUGUGCGAAAGCGUGGGGAGCAAACAGG
rnacentral:rRNA from 1 species